rnacentral:rRNA from 1 species
AUGAACGCUGGCGGCGUGCCUAAUACAUGCAAGUCGAGCGCACAGACGAGGAGCUUGCUCCUCUGACGUUAGCGGCGGACGGGUGAGUAACACGUGGAUAACCUACCUAUAAGACUGGGAUAACUUCGGGAAACCGGAGCUAAUACCGGAUAAUAUAUUGAACCGCAUGGUUCAAUAGUGAAAGACGGUUUUGCUGUCACGUAUAGAUGGAUCCGCGCCGCAUUAGCUAGUUGGUAAGGUAACGGCUUACCAAGGCGACGAUGCGUAGCCGACCUGAGAGGGUGAUCGGCCACACUGGAACUGAGACACGGUCCAGACUCCUACGGGAGGCAGCAGUAGGGAAUCUUCCGCAAUGGGCGAAAGCCUGACGGAGCAACGCCGCGUGAGUGAUGAAGGUCUUCGGAUCGUAAAACUCUGUUAUUAGGGAAGAACAAAUGUGUAAGUAACUAUGCACGUCUUGACGGUACCUAAUCAGAAAGCCACGGCUAACUACGUG